UACGUAGGGACCGAGCGUUGUCCGGAUUCAUUGGGCGUAAAGAGCUCGUAGGCGGCUGUUCAAGUCGAACGUGAAAACUCGGGGCUCAACUCCGAAACUGCAUUCGAUACUGCCGUGCUUGAGGACUGGAGAGGAGACUGGAAUUUACGGUGUAGCGGUGAAAUGCGUAGAUAUCGUAAGGAAGACCAGUGGCGAAGGCGGGUCUCUGGACAGUUCCUGACGCUGAGGCACGAAGGCCAGGGGAGCAAACGGG
rnacentral:rRNA from 1 species